rnacentral:rRNA from 1 species
GAUGAACGCUAGCGGCAGGCCUAAUACAUGCAAGUCAGGGGUAUAAAUCUUUCGGGAUUUAGAGACCGGCGGACGGGUGCGUAACGCGUAUGCAACUUACCACUACUGGGGGAUAGCCCGGGAAACCCGGAUUAAUACCCCAUGGUAUUAUUUGAUGGCAUCUGAAGAUAAUUAAAGAUUUAUCGGUAGUGGAUGGGCAUGCGUCUGAUUAGUUAGUUGGUGAGGUAACGGCUCACCAAGGCGAUGAUCAGUAGGGGGUCUGAGAGGAUGAUCCCCCACACUGGCACUGAGAUACGGGCCAGACUCCUACGGGAGGCAGCAGUAGGGAGUAUUGGUCAAUGGGCGAGAGCCUGAACCAGCCAUGCCGCGUGCAGGGUGACGGCCUUCUGGGUUGUAAACUGCUUUUCUACAAGAAGAAAAAGGCCUUGCGAGGCAAAUUGCCGGUAUUGUAGGAAUAAGCACCGGCUAACUCCGUG